CGUGACUUUACCGAAAGAACCAAAGAGUAUGGAUUCCUGCAGUCACGAAAGCUUCAAAUCAAGAUAGCUCACACUAGUAUCACGUGACGCCAUCAUCCCUCUCAACUCUCCAGUAUGGUGUGACGUCAUCACCCCUUUCCACCUCACCACCGCAGGUGCGUGACGUCAUUUACGGACGGCCCCUAAGUCAAGCGUAUUGCAGUCCAUAGAAUCGCGUCUUUCACAAUGACGUUGUCAUGGAGCGCUUCACAAGUAAUAAAGAGAUUAGAAAAUAAAAUUGUUGGGCUGUGUAAGAUCGGCUGUAGUUGUUAGGCAGUGCAAGAUAGGCUGUAGUUAUCAGGCUGUGUUAAGUUAGGCUGUCGUCAGGAGUCUACGUUAGGCUGUAGUUGUCAGGCUAAGUUAGGCUGUAGUUGUCAGGCUAAGUUAGGCUGUAGUUGUCAGGCUAAGUUAGGCUGUAGUUGUCAGGCUAAGUUUGGCUGUAGUCAGGCUAAGUUUGGCUGUUAGGCUAAGUUAGGCUGUAGUUGUCAGGCUAAGUUAGGCUGUAGAUGUCAGGCUAAGUUAGGCUGUAGUUGUCAGGCUAAGUUAGGCUGUAGUUGUCAGGCUAAGUUAGGCUGUAGUUGGCAGGCUAAGUUAGACUGUAGUUGUCAGGCUAAGUUAGGCUGUAGUUGUCAGGCUAAGUUAGGCUGUAGUUGUCAGGCUAAGUUAGGCUGUAGUUGUUAGGCUAAGUUUGGCUGUUAGGCUGUAGUUGUCAGGCUAAGUUAGGCUAUAGUUGUCAGGCUAAGUUAGGCUGUAGUUGUCAGGCUAAGUUAGGCUGUAGUUGUCAGGCUAAGUUAGGCUGUUAGGCUAAGUUAGGCUGUAGUUGUCAGGCUAAGUUAGGCUGUAGUUGUCUGGCUGUUGUUGUCGUCUCUCGGCGCAAGUCACGCCCCGGUUUCCACGGCGACGGGAAGCGCGGCCAGAGACGAGAACCUCAGAGCGGCCACCCGUGCGAGUUCCCGUGAGAGAACCCCCACUCACAGAGGAGCCAGCCACGGUGCAUGUGACUCGAGUCAGAUGGUCACAAUAAGACAAAGAUCCCCCGUAUAACCUGAAGAGACUGUUGGGGCAAGUGCUGU